AGAUUGAACGCUGGCGGCAUGCCUAACACAUGCAAGUCGAACGGGAGUAGCAAUACUCUAGUGGCGGACGGGUGAGGAAUACGUAGGAAUUUGCCCUUAAGUGGGGGAUAACCCGGGGAAACCCGGAUUAAUACCGCAUGACCUCGAAAGAGCAAAGUGGGGGAUCGCAAGACCUCACGCUUUUGGAGAAGCCUACGUCGGAUUAGCUAGUUGGUGAGGUAAUGGCUCACCAAGGCGACGAUCCGUAACUGGUCUGGAGAGGAUGAUCAGUCACGACCGGAAUGAGACCACGGUCCGGACUCCGUACGGGAGGCAGCAGGUGGGAAUAGUGGACAAGUGGCGACAACGCCUGACUCCGAGACGAAUCGGACCGUCGGUUGUACGGUAACGG
rnacentral:rRNA from 1 species